CCUACGGGGGGCUGCAGUGGGGAAUAUUGGGCAAUGGAGGCAACUCUUACCCAGCAAUGCCGCGUGAAUGAAGAAGGUCUGCGGAGGGUAAAGUUCGUGAAGUGGGGACGAAAAAAAUGACGGUACCCAAGGAAUAAGCAACGGCUAACUACGGGCCAGCAGCCGCGGUAAUACGUAGGGGGCAAGCGUUGGUCGGAAUGACUGGGCGUAAAGGGUGUGGAGGCGGUGUAGCCAGUUAGAAGUGAAAUACCUAGAGCUUAACGCCGGUGCUGCUUCUAAAACUGCUAUACUUGAGUGCAGGAGAGGCAAGUUGCAUUCCUAGUGUAGCGGUGUCAUGC
rnacentral:rRNA from 1 species